UACGAAGGGGGCUAGCGUUGCUCGGAAUCACUGGGCGUAAAGGGUGCGUAGGCGGGUUAUUAAGUCAGAGGUGAAAUCCUGGAGCUCAACUCCAGAACUGCCUUUGAUACUGAUAGUCUUGAGUAUGGGAGAGGUGAGUGGAGCUGCGAGUGUAGAGGUGAAAUUCGUAGAUAUUCGCAAGAACACCAGUGGCGAAGGCGGCUCACUGGCCCAUAACUGACGCUGAGGCACGAAAGCGUGGGGAGCAAACAGG
rnacentral:rRNA from 1 species